AAACUUACCUGACGCGAGAGGCACCUUGAUCAACUAGGAGUCCUCUCAGGAUGAGGCCCUUUCAUUGCACUUCGACUGGGUUGACUUUUGCGAUUACCCCUAAUGUGGGUAACUCGAGCAAAUAAUUUCAGGUAGUGGGGACCUGCGUUUGCGCUCGUCCCCU
rnacentral:snRNA from 1 species